UCUGUAUGAAUAAAAUGUAAAGUCUAGCCUGCCCACUGAUAAUUAGUUUUAAAGGGCCGCGGUAAUUUGACCGUGCAAAGGUAGCAUAAUCAGUAGUCUUUUAAUUGAGGGCUGGAAUGAAUGGUUGGACAAGAAGCUGUCUGUCUUUAUUGUAAAAAUUGAAUUUAACUUUUAAGUGAAAAGGCUUAAAUAUGUUGGGGGGACGAUAAGACCCUAUAAAACUUGACAUAGAAAGUUGGUUUUUAAAUUGUUGUAUUAAAAUAAACCAGGUUUAUUUUGUUACGUUGGGGCGACGAGAAUAUAAAAUGUAACUGUUAGUAAAUUUAAAUAAUUAUUUUUAGUUGUUUGAUUGAUCCUUUUAUAGAGAUUAUAAGAAAAAGUUACUUUAGGGAUAACAGCGUGAUUUUUUCUGAGAGUUCUUAUCGACGAAAGUAGUUGCGACCUCGAUGUUGAAUUAAGAUAUUAUUAGGGUGUAGAAGUUCUAAUUAUAGGUCUGUUCGACCUUUAAAAUC
rnacentral:rRNA from 2 species